AGUGAACGCUGGCGGUAGGCCUAACACAUGCAAGUCGAACGGCAGCACAGUAAGAGCUUGCUCUUACGGGUGUCGAGUGGCGGACGGGUGCGGAAUACAUCGGAAUCUACUUUUUCGUGGGGGCUAACGUAGGGAAACUUACGCUAAUACCGCAUACGACCUACGGGUGAAAGCAGGGGAUCUUCGGACCUUGCGCGAUUGAAUGAGCCGAUGUCGGAUUAGCUAGUUGGCGGGGUAGAGGCCCACCAAGGCGACGAUCCGUAGCUGGUCUGACAGGAUGAUCAGCCACACUGGAACUGAGACACGGCCCAGACUCCUACGGGAGGCAGCAGUGGGGAAUAUUGGACAAUGGGCGAAAGCCUGAUCCAGCCAUACCGCGUGGGUGAAGAAGGCCUUCGGGUUGUAAAGCCCUUUUGGUGGGAAAGAAAAGCAGCAGGUUAAUACCCCGCUGUUCUGACGGUACCCAAAGAAUAAGCACCGGCUAACUUCGUG
rnacentral:rRNA from 1 species